rnacentral:pre_miRNA from 2 species
CCCGGCCUGUCAGAUAGCUUAUCAGACUGGUGUUGGCUGUUAAGAUUGCAAGGCGACAACAGUCUGUAGGCUGUCUGACAUUUUGGG